UCUGCAGCCCUGGAAUCUGCAAUUCUUUAUUUAUCUGACUAACAAGAAUAGCUCAGACAGCAGCAGUUGGUUCUUCCAACACUGUCUCCCAUGAGCCUAACCUAGCCCUGACCUCUUGGAAUGGGCAGACAUGUGGCUUUGGUCACUACAACACUAAGGCUGGG
ensembl:misc_RNA